GCUGCUGGCAGGAGGGGCGCUGUCAUUCACACAGCCCGGCACUGGGCACACCCGGGGUCUUGGGCCAGCCGGGCCGUGCCCUCCAUCACUGCCCAAAGGAGCCGGCUGGGCGCUUCUGGCCGACCGCACGGCCCUGCACGUGGGCCAGGACCCGGCAAUGAACCCAGCACGACCCCUUCCCCCCACUGCCUGGCCCCUCCUCAGGAGCUCACCUGCCCCGGGCCGGCCGGGAGUGGACAGGGGACACAGGGACCCUCGGCUCUCCGGCCAGGACCCAGCCCUGAACCCAGCACGACCCCUUCCCCCCACUGCCUGGCCCCUCCUCAGGAGCCCACCCUGCUGGCUGGGAGUGGACAGGGGACACAGGCACCCUCGGCCGCAGCGCCCCGCCCUGGGCCCUCCGGCCAGGACCCUCUGGCAGCGGGGCUCCCCCGGGGUCCGCUCUGGCUGGGGAGGGGCGCAGGGGCUGCCUUUUUGAAUCCUGUUUUGUUUCCGGGCACCACGACGCCGAGAUUUCUUGUGAGAAACCCAUCGGCAGUCGUCCGCCUCACGGACUGGACCACGCCGGAGGACAAAGGGCCGGGGCUGUGUUCCGGCAAAACCCGUGGCGAAGUGGACGGAAGCGCUCGUCCGCGCCACGCAUCACAAAAAACCGCUCCCCUCGUCACGCGCGGAAGGGGCCCAGCGCGGGUCUCGCCGUCGACGACGAGCGGGCGCGAGGCCCGAGUGCUUCGCCGCGCCGGCCCCACGCUCGGCGGCUCCCGCGCCCCACGGGCCGAGGGCGGGGCCGCGCCGGCGGGGCCGCGCCGGCGGGAGCGCGCGGCCCACGGCGCGGCGCGGAGGGCGGCGGCCGAGAGCGCGCGCGCCGGCCCACGCCCGCGCUCCCGGGAAGUCUCGCGAUGCGCGGCCGGCUGCUCCCGCUGCGGGCGGCUCGGGCUGUUGCUGUGGUUGCCUGAGUUGCGGCGGCGGCGCCGGUGGAGGUGGCGGCGGCCGGGCGGAUGUUGA
rnacentral:lncRNA from 1 species